rnacentral:rRNA from 1 species
GACAUAUGAAGUCUCAGAGCCGGGUGUUGGUUCCGGUAGAGAUCGAGGGAAAUUAGUACCGAAGUCUGAGAUGGAAGAUGGCGAGAAAAGCUGUGUGUAUUUCUGAGGUGCCCGUACCGCAAACCGACACAGGUAGGUAGGAAGAAGAUUCUAAGGCCAACGGGAGAAGGGUUGUUAAGGAACUCGGCAAAUUGACCCCGUAACUUCGGGAGAAGGGGUGCUCCAGAGAUGGAGCCGCAGAGAAUCGGCCCAAGCAACUGUUUACCAAAAACACAGGUUUGUGCUAAAUCGAAAGAUGACGUAUACGAGCUGACGCCUGCCCGGUGCUGGAAGGUUAAGAGGAGAUGUGCAAGCAUUGAAUCGAAGCCCCAGUGAACGGCGGCCGUAACUAUAACGGUCCUAAGGUAGCGAAAUUCCUUGUCAGGUAAGUUCUGACCCGCAUGAAAGGCGUAAUGAUUUGGGCACUGUCUCAACAGCCCGCCCGGCGAAAUUGUAGUACCGGUGAAGAUGCCGGUUACCCGCGACAAGACGGAAAGACCCCAUGGAGCUUUACUGUAGCCUAAUAUUGGGUUUCGAUGUUGCAUGCACAGGAUAGAUGGGACUCUGGGAAACCAAGGCUUUGGCUUUGGCGGAGAGGCCGUUGGGAUACCAUCCUUGCGAUAUUGGAAUUCUAACCUGCGGCUCUGAAUCGAGUCGGGGGACAUUGUUAGGUGGGCAGUUUGACUGGGGCGGUCGCCUCCUAAAGAGUAACGGAGGCGUUCAAAGGUUCGCUCAGCUUGAACGGAAAUCAAGCAAAAGAGUGCAAACGCAGAAGCGAGCCUAACUGCGAGACUGACGGGUCGAGCAGUAACGAAAGUUGGAGUUAGUGAUCCGGUGGUAUGUGAGUGGAAAUGCCAUCGCUCAACGGAUAAAAGUUACCCUGGGGAUAACAGGCUGAUCUCCCCCAAGAGUCCACAUCGACGGGGAGGUUUGGCACCUCGAUGUCGGCUCAUCGCAUCCUGGGGCUGUAUUCGGUCCCAAGGGUUUGGCUGUUCGCCAAUUAAAGCGGUACGCGAGCUGGGUUCAGAACGUCGUGAGACAGUUCGGUCCCUAUCUGUCGUGGGCGCAGGAUAUUUGAUGGGAGCUGUCCCUAGUACGAGAGGACCGGGACGGGCGUACCUCUGGCGCACCAGUUGUUCCGCCAGGAGCAUAGCUGGGCAACUACGUACGGAUCGGAUAAACGCUGAAAGCAUCUAAGCGUGAAGCCGACCCAAAGAUAAGAUAUCCCACUGAUUCAAUCAGGUAAGAUCCCUUGUAGACUACGAGGUUGAUAGGCACGAUGUGUAAGUGGAGCGAUCCAUUCAGCAAGUGUGUACUAAUAGAUCGAGGGCUUGACCUA